rnacentral:misc_RNA from 1 species
UCCUCAUUUUGAGCCUGAAUUUGCAACAACACUUGUUCUUGUGCCUCAAUAUUCUGUGCAAUGUCCUCACAGAUUUGAUCAUAUUUGGCUAUCUCUUUCCUAAAAAGAUCUUCAUAGGAACCAGUGGAUGUCAUCAACUUUGGUAGUAUGUCAUCCUUCCUUUUCAUCUCCUUGAGCAUAUCUUCUAGACCUGCCCUUUGAGCACCAAGAAUCUCCAAUUGCCUCAAGCUCUGCUUCAGAGAACCCACUAUAGCAUCUUCAUUGGCAUCCAAAGACAUUAUUGGCCUAG